rnacentral:rRNA from 1 species
CAAUAAGCGGAGGAAAAGAAACCAACAGGGAUUGCCCCAGUAACGGCGAGUGAAGCGGCAACAGCUCAGAUUUGAAAUCUGGCCCUCCCCCGCGGGGGCCCGAGUUGUAAUCUGCAGAGGAUGCUUUCGGCGAGGCGCGCCCACCAAGUCCCCUGGAACGGGGCGCCACAGAGGGUGAGAGCCCCGUACGGUGGGCCGCUGAGCCUCUGUAAAGCUCCUUCGACGAGUCGAGUAGUUUGGGAAUGCUGCUCAAAACGGGAGGUAAAUUUCUUCUAAAGCUAAAUACCGGCCAGAGACCGAUAGCGCACAAGUAGAGUGAUCGAAAGAUGAAAAGCACCUUGGAAAGAGGGUUAAAUAGCACGUGAAAUUGCUGAAAGGGAAGCGCUCGCGGCCAGACUUGGGCCCGAGGGAUCAGUCGGCGCUCCGCGCCGACGCACUCCACCGGGCCCAGGCCAGCAUCGGUUCCCCCGGGGGGACAAGUGCCCUGGGAACGUGGCUCCCUCCGGGGAGUGUUAUAGCCCGGGGCGUCAUGCCCCCAGGGGGGACCGAGGUCCGCGCGUCCGCAAGGAUGCUGGCGUAAUGGCCGUCGGCGACCCGUCUUGAAACACGGACCAAGGAGUCAAGCAUUAGGGCGAGUCUAUGGGUGCGAAACCCGCAGGCGCAAUGAAAGUGAACGCAGGUGAGAGCUUCGGCGCAUCAUCGACCGAUCCCGAGGUCCUCCGACGGAUUUGAGUAGGAGCCUUACCGCUUGGACCCGAAAGAUGGUGAACUAUGCCUGGAUAGGGUGAAGCCAGAGGAAACUCUGGUGGAGGCUCGCAGCGGUUCUGACGUGCAAAUCGAUCGUCAAAUUUGGGCAUGGGGGCGAAAGACUAAUCGAACCAUCUAGUAGCUGGUUACCGCCGAGUUU